CUCGAUGGUGGCUGUGCGCAUGGCAUCUUCGGAUGCACCGGGUUGAAUGCUUACCGGUCCGCUAACUUGCGCACAGCUGCCUCCCUU
rnacentral:antisense_RNA from 1 species